GCCCAGGUGGUGGAAUUGGUAGACACGCUACUUUGAGGGGGUAGUGACUAAUUAGGGUCGUGUGAGUUCGAGUCUCGUCCUGGGCACCA
rnacentral:tRNA from 1 species